GAUGAACGCUGGCGGCGUGCUUAACACAUGCAAGUCGAACGGUGAACGAGGGAGCUUGCUCCCUCCGGAUCAGUGGCGAACGGGUGAGUAACACGUGAGCAAUCUGCCCUGGACUCUGGGAUAAGCGUUGGAAACGACGUCUAAUACCGGAUACGAGGCGUGGGGGCAUCCCCAACGCCUGGAAAGAACUUCGGUCCAGGAUGAGCUCGCGGCCUAUCAGCUAGUUGGUGAGGUAACGGCUCACCAAGGCGACGACGGGUAGCCGGCCGGAGAGGGUGACCGGCCACACUGGGACUGAGACACGGCCCAGACUCCUACGGGAGGCAGCAGUGGGGAAUAUUGCACAAUGGGCGCAAGCCUGAUGCAGCAACGCCGCGUGAGGGACGACGGCCUUCGGGUUGUAAACCUCUUUUAGCAGGGAAGAAGCGAAAGUGACGGUACCUGCAGAAAAAGCACCGGCUAACUACGUGCCAGCAGCCGCUGUAAUAC
rnacentral:rRNA from 1 species